rnacentral:misc_RNA from 1 species
AAGUCGUAACAAGGUUUCCGUAGGUGAACCUGCGGAAGGAUCAUUAGAGAAAUAUUCACAGAGAUCGGCGAGAGAAGGAGGACCACAUUGAUAUCUAACAGAGAUAUAUGGGGGAUGUCUCCUCUGCUUAAAGAUCCUGUGAACAUCAUCUAUUUUUCACCCCAUGUGAACCUUUUCGUGAGUUGGUACAGGUCUCUGUGACCUGGAAGGCUUGCGACUUCUACAUAUACCCCUUAGACGAGUCAUAGAAUGUACCUUUGCGUAUAAUCGCAUCCAAUACAACUUUCAGCAACGGAUCUCUUGGCUCUC